rnacentral:rRNA from 1 species
CAAGACAACUUUACGGAGUUGACGAUUGACGGAGCGAAGCGACGUCAAAGCGUUCAUUAAAGUCGAGUUGGCUUAGGGAUACGUUCGUUGGGUAGGGGAGCGUUCUGUAAGCCUGUGAAGGUGUGUCGUGAGGCAUGCUGGAGGUAUCAGAAGUGCGAAUGCUGACAUAAGUAACGAUAAAGCGGGUGAAAAGCCCGCUCGCCGGAAGACCAAGGGUUCCUGUCCAACGUUAAUCGGGGCAGGGUGAGUCGACCCCUAAGGCGAGGCCGAAAGGCGUAGUCGAUGGGAAACGGGUUAAUAUUCCCGUACUUGGUGUUACUGCGAAGGGGGGACGGAGAAGGCUAUGUUGGCCGGGCGACGGUUGUCCCGGUUUAAGCGUGUAGGUGUGUGUUCCAGGUAAAUCCGGUUCACUUUAACACUGAGGCGUGACGACGAGGCACUACGGUGCUGAAGCAACAAAUGCCCUGCUUCCAGGAAAAGCCUCUAAGCAUCAGGUAA